rnacentral:misc_RNA from 1 species
UCCGAUGCACGUGCCGUGUGCAAACCUUGGUAUGACUAGGACGAGCCGGCCGCUCCAACGGCCAUUCGAAUCCAGUAUUAGUGCAGUGGUGGAGUGCGGUGUUCCUACUUCCGAGAGUCUCGCCUUCGAUCGAUAUAUACCUAGUGUAUAAAGAAUAAGAAAAUGCCUUUCAAGCCAGUCGAAAACCCGAAAUGCCCGAAAUGCGGCAAGUCCGUCUACGCGGCGGAGGAGCGCGUCGCCGGAGGGCUGAAGUGGCACAAAAUGUGCUUCAAAUGCGGUCUCUGCGGAAAACUGCUCGACUCAACAAACUGCUCCGAGCACGAGGGUGAGCUUUUCUGCAAAGUCUGCCACGCCCGCAAAUUCGGGCCCAAGGGCUAUGGAUUCGGCGGGGGUGCAGGUUGUCUGUCCAUGGACCAGGGCGAGCAUCUCCAGAGAACAGACCAGCCGUCUAGAGGGUCCAAUGCCAUCCUGGAGCCCAAGGCCAUCGCCAAGGCCCCCGAGGGAGAGGGUUGCCCCAGGUGUGGAGGAUUCGUCUAUGCUGCCGAGCAGAUGCUGGCCCGUGGAAGGGGCUACCAUAGGGAAUGCUUCAAGUGCAAAGUUUGCAACCGGACCCUGGACUCAACCCUCCAUUGCGAUGGUCCCGAUCGCGAGAUAUACUGUCGAGCAAUGGCACAAGGAAUGCUUUAAAUGUGCCACCUGCACCAGGAGGUUAGACUCCGUCAACUGCUGCGAGGGGCCUGACAAGGAUAUCUAUUGCAAAGUCUGCUACGGGAAGAAGUUCGGGCCAAAGGGGUACGGCUACGGCCAGGGUGGCGGCGCCCUGCAGAGCGACUGCUACGCCAACGG